rnacentral:rRNA from 1 species
UACAGAGGGUGCGAGCGUUGUCCGGAAUCACUGGGCGUAAAGGGCGCGUAGGCGGCGCGGUAAGCGUGCGGUGAAAGCCCGGGGCUCAACCCCGGGUCGGCCGUGCGGACUGCCGGGCUGGAGCACUGUAGAGGCAGGUGGAAUUCCGGGUGUAGCGGUGGAAUGCGUAGAGAUCAGGAAGAACAUCGGUGGCGAAGGCGCUCUGCUGGACCAUAACUGACACUCAGGGACGAAAGCUAGGGGAGCGAAUGGG